UCAACGUCAAAGGUCAUUUCUUCAAGGGUUUGUUUUAUUGCCAGUGUGUUUAGUUGUGUUCUCUUGCGUUCUUGUAGUUUUCUUUCAAAUUAUGGCGUGUUUGCGAAAAAGUGAAUAUUUGGUGCAGUUAGAGAUCCAGAUAUUGCCUUGCGAUAUAAGGAUAAAAUAAGAGUGGUAGCCUGUGUUGACCCUUACUGAUAAUUGAAAACAACAAACUUGGAAGAUUUGCCAAAAGUAACGGCGUUUUGGUAUUAUUUCUUAUCUUGUGCUGACCCAGAGCUUCUGAAUGACCAGAUGAGGGCCUACAAAAGUUUAUCUGGCUUUAAAUAUUCUGAAGCUGGAUGGGUUUCAAAUUGUUCUAUUAAACACUUAGAGAAAAUGAACGAGCGGGCUCUUGAUGUGUGGGUCAUAACUCAAGAAGUUGGAGGAAUUGAUUCAGGACAUUGCAUCUGGAUGGUGGGUCAUUCUGAAGUCUGCAGCUAUGUUGUCGUCAUCUUAUAUAAGUUAGAGAGUUUAACACAAAUGGUGGAAAACAGAUAAAUUAUCUACCUCGAAUGUUCCUGGCCCAUCAAAAGUACCUGUAGUUAAAAUAAGUGAGAUGAAGCUAAAAAGAAGAAAAACCGAAGACAGUUUAACUGGUUCGAGCAAUAUUUCACCAUUUGAAGACUUCCUAGAAGGUGUGAUAAGUGAUGGUGAUGAUAUUGUGCUAAGCAGAAUUUUGCGGCCAUUUUGUACAGAACUGACAUUUCCAUAACCCAUAGAAUAAGUUGAUGCCCAAUCAACAUUCAUAUAAUCUUCUGAUUGAGCUGGCUUACCUACAAUAUAAAAUUGGGUCAAUUAUUUAGUGUACAGAUUAAAGCAAACAAUUACAUGUUUUUUAGCAUUUAUCAAAAAUUAACAUUUUUAAAUUAGGGUAAACCACCCAAAUGUUGGCACCAGACCAUCGAUUGGCACUCCAAAAUUAAAGUUAUAAUAAUAAGAAAUCGAUGCAAAAUAUCUAAAUUCUCGUUUUUCUUUUUACAUUUGGCAACGUUUCUCUUACUACUAGACAACUGCGCGUGCAUCAUAAAACUAAUAUGCCGGAUGUUUUGUGUGUUAGAAGUGACGCUGUUACCAAACAAGGUAGGUUUUUAGCUUUUUCGUAAGGAAAUUACUUUUUUUAAAUCCUCUGUAAGCUAUUUUGGCUCUUCAUAUAUAUUGUACAAAUUGUUAUACACUUUUAUAGACCCUGUACGUUUGUUGUUACCAUGUUUUCAGCUAUGAAAACUAUUAUUUUACACCGGUUUAUAGGGUGCCAACAUUUGGAAACCAUAACUUGACAAAAUCUAAUUAUUGGCAUGGGUGCCAAAAUAUAGAUUUGGCGGUAAUUUUAAUGUUCCUAAUAUUGGCACCCGUUAAAAAUAAUUCCUACCUAAGUGUAUUUUUAAGACUUUUUGCUUAAUAAAUAAGUUAGGUAGGUAGGUAUACGUUUUUAAAUUGUACUAUUUUAUAUUUAAGUAAAUAAAAGACAAAUUUAAAUCAAUAUGAUCCUUUUGCACUAAGGGGUAAUUAAAUAUUCACAUAUUUAAAAUUUAUUAUCAGAAGUAUGUUAUAAUCUCUGUAUAUUUUUAAGUAUCUUCAAAAUUAUAUUCUAUUUAAUGUAA